AUGCUACGCCAACAGGCAAUGAAAACAAAUAAAUAUUAUUAUUCAGAAGAAAAGGCAGAGAAGACCCCUCAGAGGGAAAAAGGGGAUAGAGGCACACUCUGCUUUCCAGAGCCUAAAGCAAACAUUGAGGUUACUAAGCAAAAGACUUGGAAGCAACCUAUAUUUUUCAUCAGUAAGAGAUGGGUUAAGUCAUGUCACAUCUGCGUUAGGAACACUGAGAAUAAUGAAAACAGAGGAUGGAGGCGAAACUACAGAACCAUAUCGACAGCCGUUUUCUUCCCAAGUAGUCGAGAAAUUGAAAUACAGAAAAUAAAGUCCUUUUGUCACUACAGAUCAGCAAAAUUCAAGAAGGGCGGAGGCCGCUGGCAGGGGAGCUUGACAGCUGUAAACAGAGUCAGGAUCUCAGCAUCGCCACAUACCUGGGAGACCAUGGCUCAUUUUGGAACUUCAAGGGUAAACAGAGUCAGGAUCUCAGCAUCGCCGCGUACCUGGGAGACCACGGCUCAUUUUGGAACUUCAAGGGUAAACAGAGUCAGGAUCUCAGCAUCGCCGCGUACCUGGGAGACCAUGGCUCAUUUUGGAACUUCAAGGGUAAACAGAGUCAGGAUCUCAGCAUCGCCGUGUACCUGGGAGACCAUGGCUCAUUUUGGAACUUCAAGGGAAAAUACCCUAAAAGGCAUCCAGCCAGAAUAAAACAUUUUUUAUAUAUAAAAAUGAAAUCAGUAGGGUUCACUUUAGUUUUUCGUCAAACACUUAAGAGUUCAGAAAACAGCGGAGAAACCUCUAGAGAGAGCUAGAGGGUAUGAAACUCAGAAAAUACUAAAGGCAUCCAGCCAAAACGGAACGUAUUUUUUUUAUCAAAUAGAAGAUCAGCUGGGUUAACCUUAGUUUUCAUUAAAAAAAAAAUAAAAGUCCAG
rnacentral:lncRNA from 13 species